CUGUGUAGAUGGUCUCUCAUUUCUGAAUGAGAUGUGCUUCUUUUUCACUUUCUUCUUAGCAUCAUCUUUAGCAUCCUUCAAGGCUCUGCAUGGUAGAACUACCUUCUACUAGAGACCUUUCUUAUUCCAUUUAGUUGCUAAUGUACUUACUUGCCAGUACAGGUUGUAUCAUUCAAUAGAAUGUUCUAGGAAGAUAGAUAUUGUUUCAUAUUGGUCUUUGUACCCCUAAAGCUUUGCACAUAGGAGGUAACUAGUUGAAUUGAAUUAAAUUCAGAAUUGCCCAUCUUUUGGAUAAAGGAGAAAAACUGUUUUUUUAGAAAAUUGCAGGAGUGGUCACAGCUGGGCAAACACCAGUAGCUCUGACUUCCAUAGGUCCCUUUCAUAAGAGAAUGGGAAAAUUUCUUCCCUGUCCUCCCUUACUAGGGAUUUUUCUUUUCACUUGAGAGAGAAGGAAUUCCCCCGUUUGUGUAGAUGCUGCCGAGCCCACUUGGGCUUGGGAUGCUGCCCUGAGCUCCAGUCCUGGCAGGAGCAGGGUCUUCAGUUGGGCUGGGAAGGAUAAGAGGAAAUGGCCUCUAGUGACCUUCUAGGGGAGGAAGCUGAAGGAGUGAGGAGGGGAGAGGGGCAGCCCAGGCUUGUGUGAUGCAAAUGAAUGUGACCUCAGCUUGGUCUGGGUCUGGCCCCAGCUGGCCAGGCUCUUUCAGGCCUCACCUGGGAGAAUAGACAUUACAAAGCAGACUAAGAGCAGACUGAGGCUAGUGAGAGACCAGGGUUCCCCUGGGGGAGGUUAGGAAGCCCCAACUGAAGAACAGAUUUAGCAAAGAGGUCCUGAGUCCUAGAGACUGUCCACAACUGAGCUGCAUUUACAUCGCCUUGAAAACCAAAGAAUAUUAACUGUGAGACUUCUUGGAACUGGAACAUGUUGGUAGAAAAAAAAGAGAGAGAAUGGAGGGAGAGACAGGGAAGAGAGAGAAGAUUGAGAGAGGGGAGGGAAGAGAGGAAGGGACUCUGGUGGGUCGAUUGUUAGGAAUAGCAUGGAUUGAGUAUACUUAAAGUAAAAGUACUUAAAGUCAGAAAGCUUUGCUCUAUGAUAAUAAUAAUAAUAACAAUUAUAUUGUUAUUACUUUGGGUAGGACGUGUGACUUCAUCACUGGAGCGA
rnacentral:lncRNA from 1 species